GGUGGCUCAGUGGUAGAGCGCAUGCCUUGCAUGCAUGAGGUCCUGGGUUCGAUUCCUCAGCACCA
rnacentral:tRNA from 1 species